GAUGAAGAACGCAGCGAAAUGCGAUAAGUAGUGUGAAUUGCAGAAUUCAGUGAAUCAUCGAAUCUUUGAACGCACAUUGCGCCCCUUGGUAUUCCAUGGGGCAUGCCUGUUUGAGCGUCAUUUGUACCUUCAAGCUCUGCUUGGUGUUGGGUGUUUGUCUCGCCUCUGCGUGUAGACUCGCCUUAAAACAAUUGGCAGCCGGCGUAUUGAUUUCGGAGCGCAGUACAUCUCGCGCUUUGCACUCAUAACGACGACGUCCAAAAGUACAUUUUUACACUCUUGACCUCGGAUCAGGUAGGGAUACCCGCUGAACUUAAGCAUAUCAAUAAGCGGAGGA
rnacentral:misc_RNA from 1 species